rnacentral:rRNA from 1 species
GGAGUUUGGGCCGUGUCUCAGUCCCAAUGUGGCCGGUCACCCUCUCAGGUCGGCUACUGAUCGUCGCCUUGGUGAGCCGUUACCUCACCAACUAGCUAAUCAGACGCGGGGCCAUCGUAUGCCGAUAAAUCUUUUCACACUUUAUCAUGCGAUAUCGUGCGCUUAUGCGGUAUUAGCAGCCGUUUCCAACUGUUGUCCCCCUGCAUACGGCAGGUUCCCCACGCGUUACUCACCCUUCCGCCGGUCGCCGGCAGAGUAUUGCUACUCCCCGCUGCCCCUCGACUUGCAUGUGUUAAGCCUGCCGCUAGCGUUCAUC